AAGUCGUAACAAGGUUUCCGUAGGUGAACCUGCGGAAGGAUCAUUACCAAAUCCAAAAAAAACUUUAUCAACACCCUAAUGUGAACUGAGAAUGGUUUCGUUCCCUCGGUUGGGCAACCUACUGAGGGAAUGUCUAUUUUUUCAACCCCUUUACAACUAUACAACCCAUUUUUUAUGCUGAAAGCAAAAACAAAAAAACGAAACAUGAGACAACUUUUAACGGUGGAUCUCUUGGCUCGU
rnacentral:misc_RNA from 1 species